GUCGGCGGUGGCCAAGCGGGUGGGCGAACUUGAAGCGUUCGCCGGGUCGCCGCUGUUCGAGCGGCGCGCCAAGA
rnacentral:tRNA from 1 species